UCGGUAUGGUUUGCAACCGUUGAUAUUCGUUGAGCUUAGUGAUAUUGUGCAGCUUGGAGAAGAAGUAAUAGGGAACCCUUGAGCAGGUUUGGAG